rnacentral:lncRNA from 1 species
AUGCAGCAGCACGUGACCAAAUCAACGAACACGCCCAAGUGCAGCCUGUGGUUCCACACCAAUGAAAGAAGGGCAAGGUUUCCGUGGCAUGUGGCACCGGGCACCAGGCGGGGGCUCACGCCGUGGCACACGAAGGGCUGGACUUCAGGGCUGUGCGGCAGGGGAAGGAGGGCACAGCACAGCGGUCGGUUUGCAGGAUGGAGGCUUCGAUCUGAUGCGGGACCCCUGAGGGGCCAAGCCUGGACCAUGGACAAGUGUGAGCACUUGGGGAAAGGAAGUGGCCGGGAGCUGGAGGCAAGAGCCCGUCCCUUGACUCCCCCUCGAAGAAAUCCCCAGAGGCCAUUUCCUGGGUGCAGACCCCAGACUCCUCUCUCCUUGGCCAAGAAUCCAGAGGACGUCCCUUUUGCAGAGCGCCCGAAUCUCCUCCUCCCAAGUUCCCUUCUUGUUGCUGUGAACAAAUGCCUGGAGACAUCUGGCUCAGAGACCUUGGAGGGACUCCCUCAGAGACUAAUACUGCAUCCAAACCAAAGCUGGAGAAUCUGA